UACGGGGGGGCAAGCGUUGUUCGGAAUUACUGGGCGUAAAGGGCUCGUAGGUGGCCAACUAAGUCAGACGUGAAAUCCCUCGGCUUAACCGGGGAACUGCGUCCGAUACUGGUUGGCUUGAGUUUGGGAGAGGGAUGCGGAAUUCCGAGGUGUAGCGGUGAAAUGACGUAGAUAUCUGGAGGAACACCGGUGGCGAAGGCGGCAUCCUGGACCGACAUUGACGCUGAGGCGCGAAAGCCAGGGGAGCAAACGGGG
rnacentral:rRNA from 1 species